UUAGCUCAUAAAAAGAAACUUACUCCGAUUUCUCUAUCUACGACGACAGAAGAAAAGCAGGAAAAGCUCACUAAUAGCGGAUCACUU
rnacentral:rRNA from 1 species